rnacentral:snoRNA from 1 species
ACCCCAUCUCUGCAAAAAAUACCAAAAUUGGCUGGGUGUGGUGGCUCACACUUGUGGUCUCAGCUUCUGGGAGGCUGAGGUGGGAAAAUCAUCUGGACCCAGGGAGGUCAAGGCAGCAGUGAGCCUUGAUUGUGGCCACUGCACUCCAGCCU